GCCCAGGUAGCUCAGUUGGCAGAGCAGGGGACUGAAAAUCCCCGUGUCGGUGGUUCGAUUCCGCCCCUGGGCACCA
rnacentral:tRNA from 1 species